rnacentral:rRNA from 1 species
GGCUAUAAUGCAGUCGAGCGACAGAUAAGGAGCUUGCUCCUUUGACGUUAGCGGCGGACGGGUGAGUAACACGUGGGUAACCUACCUAUAAGACUGGAAUAACUCCGGGAAACCGGGGCUAAUGCCGGAUAACAUAUAGAACCGCAUGGUUCUAUAGUGAAAGAUGGUUUUGCUAUCACUUAUAGAUGGACCCGCGCCGUAUUAGCUAGUUGGUAAGGUAACGGCUUACCAAGGCGACGAUACGUAGCCGACCUGAGAGGGUGAUCGGCCACACUGGAACUGAGACACGGUCCAGACUCCUACGGGAGGCAGCAGUAGGGAAUCUUCCGCAAUGGGCGAAAGCCUGACGGAGCAACGCCGCGUGAGUGAUGAAGGGUUUCGGCUCGUAAAACUCUGUUAUUAGGGAAGAACAUAUGUGUAAGUAACUGUGCACAUCUUGACGGUACCUAAUCAGAAAGCCACGGCUAACUACGUGCCAGCAGCCGCGGUAAUACGUAGGUGGCAAGCGUUAUCCGGAAUUAUUGGGCGUAAAGCGCGCGUAGGCGGUUUCUUAAGUCUGAUGUGAAAGCCCACGGCUCAACCGUGGAGGGUCAUUGGAAACUGGGAAACUUGAGUGCAGAAGAGGAAAGUGGAAUUCCAUGUGUAGCGGUGAAAUGCGCAGAGAUAUGGAGGAACACCAGUGGCGAAGGCGACUUUCUGGUCUGUAACUGACGCUGAUGUGCGAAAGCGUGGGGAUCAAACAGGAUUAGAUACCCUGGUAGUCCACGCCGUAAACGAUGAGUGCUAAGU